CCUCGGAGAGUUUGAUCCUGGCUCAGGACGAACGCUGGCGGCGUGCCUAAUACAUGCAAGUCGAGCGAACAGAAGGGAGCUUGCUCCCGGAUGUUAGCGGCGGACGGGUGAGUAACACGUGGGUAACCUGCCUGUAAGACUGGGAUAACUCCGGGAAACCGGAGCUAAUACCGGAUAGUUCCUUGAACCGCAUGGUUCAAGGAUGAAAGACGGUUUCGGCUGUCACUUACAGAUGGACCCGCGGCGCAUUAGCUAGUUGGUGGGGUAAUGGCUCACCAAGGCGACGAUGCGUAGCCGACCUGAGAGGGUGAUCGGCCACACUGGGACUGAGACACGGCCCAGACUCCUACGGGAGGCAGCAGUAGGGAAUCUUCCGCAAUGGACGAAAGUCUGACGGAGCAACGCCGCGUGAGUGAUGAAGGUUUUCGGAUCGUAAAGCUCUGUUGUUAGGGAAGAACAAGUGCGAGAGUAACUGCUCGCACCUUGACGGUACCUAACCAGAAAGCCACGGCUAACUACGUGCCAGCAGCCGCGGUAAUACGUAGGUGGCAAGCGUUGUCCGGAAUUAUUGGGCGUAAAGGGCUCGCAGGCGGUUUCUUAAGUCUGAUGUGAAAGCCCCCGGCUCAACCGGGGAGGGUCAUUGGAAACUGGGAAACUUGAGUGCAGAAGAGGAGAGUGGAAUUCCACGUGUAGCGGUGAAAUGCGUAGAGAUGUGGAGGAACACCAGUGGCGAAGGCGACUCUCUGGUCUGUAACUGACGCUGAGGAGCGAAAGCGUGGGGAGCGAACAGGAUUAGAUACCCUGGUAGUCCACGCCGUAAACGAUGAGUGCUAAGUGUUAGGGGGUUUCCGCCCCUUAGUGCUGCAGCUAACGCAUUAAGCACUCCGCCUGGGGAGUACGGUCGCAAGACUGAAACUCAAAGGAAUUGACGGGGGCCCGCACAAGCGGUGGAGCAUGUGGUUUAAUUCGAAGCAACGCGAAGAACCUUACCAGGUCUUGACAUCCUCUGACAACCCUAGAGAUAGGGCUUUCCCUUCGGGGACAGAGUGACAGGUGGUGCAUGGUUG
rnacentral:rRNA from 1 species